GAUAUUUAUAGAGAUCAAGGCAAGUUUGACCUUUUUACUCAAAGUGUCAGCCACCACAUUUGCCUUGUUGGGCUUAUAUUACAAAUAAUAGUCAAAUUCAACUAGAAAGUCCUGCCAAUGAGCAUGUUUGGGGUUGAGUUUCUUAUGCGUCUUGAAAUAGCUGGUAGCUCUGUCAUUAUGAUGAACUUGUUGUCGAUAAGGUAAUCCCUCCAUGUUCGUAGGCAAUGAAUGAUGGUUGUCCGUAUCAUUGAACUUCUGGCUCUCAUAGGCAAUGAAGUACCCUCUUGCAUUAGUACUCACCCUAAUUGUGAAAACAUAGGU
rnacentral:lncRNA from 1 species